AUGCCUCCGCCGUCACUGCUGCGCCCUCCGCUCUCGCUGCUCCUCCGCCGCUCCCAGACUCCAUCUCCUCUCCGACGAAUCCCCAGCUUCACCCCAUCCCCUCCGCUCGUCCUGCCCAAGCGGCGGCACCUCUCCGCCGCGCAGCUCGCCGACCCGCUCUCCGCCGCAGGGCCGGAGGAGGCGGUGGUGGGCUUCGUCGCCGGCAAGCGCAAGGCCACCGAGGUAGCCCACGCGGUGUGGAGGAGUAUCGUUCAGAGAGGAGACACGGUGGUCGAUGCCACCUGUGGGAACGGGAAUGAUACGUUUGCUCUGCUGAAGAUGGUGUCCGAUGACACCGGCAGAGGGCGUGUUUACGGGAUGGACAUCCAAGAUUCCGCGAUAGAUAGCACCGCCUCUUUUCUGAAAAUGGCCGUCGACAGUCGCGAGAUGGAGCUAGUCGAGUUGUUUGCAAUGUGUCACAGUAGAAUGGAGGAUAUUGUUCCAAAAGAUUCUCCUGUCAGGCUUGUAGCAUUCAAUCUGGGCUACCUUCCAGGAGGAGAUAAAACAAUAAUAACAGUACCUGAGACAACUGAGCUGGCACUGCAAGCUGCCAGCAGAAUUGUUAGCUCAGGGGGACUCAUAAGUGUCCUUGUCUACAUUGGGCAUCUGGGUGGAAGGGAUGAACUCGAUAUUGUUGAAUCAUUUGCGUCAAGCUUGCCUGCUGAUGCAUGGGUGAGCUGCAAGUUUGAAAUGAUCAAUAGGCCAGUUGCUCCAGUACUAGUUCUUCUGCACAAGAAAUGA
rnacentral:rRNA from 1 species